rnacentral:rRNA from 1 species
CCUAAGGUAGCGAAAUUCCUUGUCGGGUAAGUUCCGACCUGCACGAAUGGAGUAAUGAUGGCGGCGCUGUCUCCACCCGAGACUCAGUGAAAUUGAAAUCGCUGUGAAGAUGCAGUGUACCCGCGGCAAGACGGAAAGACCCCGUGAACCUUUACUAUAGCUUGGCACUGGACUCUGACACUAUCUGUGUAGGAUAGGUGGGAGACUUUGAAGCGUGGUCGCUAGACUGCGUGGAGUCAACCUUGAAAUACCACCCUGGUAUUGUCGGGGUUCUAACGCUGACCCGUCAUCCGGGUUGCGGACAGUGUCUGGUGGGUAGUUUGACUGGGGCGGUCUCCUCCCAAAGAGUAACGGAGGAGCACGAAGGUACCCUCAGCAUGGUCGGAAAUCAUGCAAUGAGCGCAAUGGUAGAAGGGUGCUUAACUGCGAGACCCACAAGUCGAGCAGGUACGAAAGUAGGUCAUAGUGAUCCGGUGGUUCUGUAUGGAAGGGCCAUCGCUCAACGGAUAAAAGGUACUCCGGGGAUAACAGGCUGAUUCCGCCCAAGAGUUCACAUCGACGGCGGAGUUUGGCACCUCGAUGUCGGCUCAUCACAUCCUGGGGCUGAAGCCGGUCCCAAGGGUAUGGCUGUUCGCCAUUUAAAGUGGUACGCGAGCUGGGUUCAGAACGUCGUGAGACAGUUCGGUCCCUAUCUGUCGUGGGCGUUGGAGAUUUGAGAAGAGUUGCUCCUAGUACGAGAGGACCGGAGUGAACGAACCUCUGGUGUUCGGGUUGUCACGCCAGUGGCAUUGCCCGGUAGCUAUGUUCGGACGGGAUAACCGCUGAAAGCAUCUAAGCGGGAAGCCUCCUUCAAGAUGAGAUCUCCCUGGGGCUUUAAGUCCCCUGAAGGGCCGUCGAAGACUACGACGUUGAUAGGUUGGGUGUGUAAGCGCUGUGAGGCGUUGAGCUAACCAAUACUAAUUGCCCGUGAGGCUUGACCAU